rnacentral:lncRNA from 1 species
AGUUGCCGCCCCCUUUCCAUGGCAACACCCUGAUGGCCGAAAGUUACUACCCUUAUUCCAGAAAUCUCUGCAUAAUCUGUCGGUUUGCAUAUAAUUAACAGUGGCUAUAAAUGUGAGUGCAGCCCUGUCCUGUCCUCAGCUGCUGCCCUGGGCGCACUGCCUUGCGGGUCACUGUGGCUGCUCCUGUGCUUCAGCGGGACUAGAAGCUGCCGCCCACGGGCAGCGGGGAAGAAAUCUGGGCAAAGCCAUGAGCCCUCCGAGGCUGAGCUCCAGUUUAGGGGCUCACCUGCCUUGCAUCGUUCCGAGUCCUGUACUGGACUGCAUCAGGCCGCGUCUCCUCAGGAAAGGAAAGGGGAUGCCCCUGAGGAGACUCGGUGCUCCCCACAGAACUCCCCAGCGAUCCCAGAUGGGAGAAGCUGAGCUGCGCGGGCGCUGCCCUCACUCCGGGGGUGAAACGUGGCUGUGAUUUCCACAGGUGACAGAAACCAGGCAGUGAUUCAACUCGUAUUUGACUUUCACAUUCUCCAGCAAUGUUCUUCAAUCUGGGAAGGGUAGAAAAUUAAAGAAAGGUAAGGAGAGUUAAAAAAUGAGAUCAUUUCAAAGUAGAUGCAGUCUUGAAGCCCAAAUGAAUUACGAGAUCCAGUUUGAAAGCUGCUGCAGAAGUGAUUUCAGAAUCGCGCGGUGGCUCCGGAAUGGGGAACUGCUGCUGAAAGAGGUCGGAAAGGGUGGGGACUGAAUUUCGGGUAAGAGGACGCCAGUGGUUCUGGAGCACGCGGCCUUCAGCCAUGCCUGCGUUCACAAGUACAUUAUUUCAGACUCACUCCAAGUUUACAUCUCUAAGCCCAUCCAAGCCAUGGCAGCGCGAACCUCUCCCUCCCCCAGCUCAAGGCCUCUGGGCCCCCAGGACAGAGGACAGAAGAGCCAGCCCCUCCUGGCUCAGGGUUGCCGGGACCCCGUGAUGGCUGCUGUGCCUCUCCUGAGGUGCCAGGUGAGAGCUGAGACUUCUGCUCCCGCUGCACCAGCUCCGUUUGUCUCCAGGCGCAGUGUCAGUCUCGUUCUUUAAGCGCUUCUGAGGUCCCAUCAGCACAGGUCUCGUCUUACCUGGAAAGGCUUGUUGCCUUGUGCCUGGGACUUUUUAUUCUGUGCUUUUCUUCUGGAUAUUAAAUUUCAUAUCCACGCUUGCUUGUCACUCAGA